rnacentral:rRNA from 1 species
GAUGAACGCUGGCGGCGUGCCUAAUACAUGCAAGUCGAGCGAACAGACGAGGAGCUUGCUCCUCUGACGUUAGCGGCGGACGGGUGAGUAACACGUGGAUAACCUACCUAUAAGACUGGGAUAACUUCGGGAAACCGGAGCUAAUACCGGAUAAUAUAUUGAACCGCAUGGUUCAAUAGUGAAAGACGGUUUUGCUGUCACUUAUAGAUGGAUCCGCGCCGCAUUAGCUAGUUGGUAAGGUAACGGCUUACCAAGGCAACAAUGCGUAGCCGACCUGAGAGGGUGAUCGGCCACACUGGAACUGAGACACGGUCCAGACUCCUACGGGAGGCAGCAGUAGGGAAUCUUCCGCAAUGGGCGAAAGCUUGACGGAGCAACGCCGCGUGAGUGAUGAAGGUCUUCGGAUCGUAAAACUCUGUUAUUAGGGAAGAACAAAUGUGUAAGUAACUAUGCACGUCUUGACGGUACCUAAUCAGAAAGCCACGGCUAACUACGUG